rnacentral:rRNA from 1 species
GCAUCGACCAGAGGGAAAAGGAGCAAUCCGCUUUGAGAUGGCCUCGCGUCCGAUUAGCUAGUUGGUGAGGUAAUGGCCCACCAAGGCGACGAUCGGUAGCCGGACUGAGAGGUUGAACGGCCACAUUGGGACUGAGACACGGCCCAGACUCCUACGGGAGGCAGCAGUGGGGAAUAUUGCACAAUGGGGGAAACCCUGAUGCAGCGACGCCGCGUGGAGGAAGAAGGUCUUCGGAUUGUAAACUCCUGUUGUUGAGGAAGAUAAUGACGGUACUCAACAAGGAAGUGACGGCUAACUACGUGCCAGCAGCCGCGGUAAAACGUAGGUCACAAGCGUUGUCCGGAAUUACUGGGUGUAAAGGGAGCGCAGGCGGGAAGACAAGUUGGAAGUGAAAUCUAUGGGCUCAACCCAUAAACUGCUUUCAAAACUGUUUUUCUUGAGUAGUGCAGAGGUAGGCGGAAUUCCCGGUGUAGCGGUGGAAUGCGUAGAUAUCGGGAGGAACACCAGUGGCGAAGGCGGCCUACUGGGCACCAACUGACGCUGAGGCUCGAAAGUGUGGGUAGCAAACAGGAUUAGAUACCCUGGUAGUCCACACCGUAAACGAUGAUUACUAGGUGUUGGAGGAUUGACCCCUUCAGUG